CUUCCACUCUGUGAAACUGAUGUUGGAUUUUGAUGUGGUCAUCAUAUUUUUUCUUCAGAUGUUCUUCUGCCUCCUGCAAGCAAGUUACGCUAAGAUGAUUUAAGUCUGAACCAAGUAAGAAAAUAAAAAUAUACAGCACCAAUAGGGUCUUGUUGUGAGCCAGGAGGAAGGAGAGGCAGGCGUGACAGGAGCUGCCCAUAGAACUUGGUGCUCCCAGUCAGGACCCCCAGCAGGAUCGGUUAGCAGACAGUCCUGGCAGAUCCCCUCAGGUCCUAUAUGGGAGUUCGGCCCUGAUCCACAGCCUGGCAGAAAUAAGCAAGUCCCAUAAGGAGAAAGAGGGCCAAAUUCUUUUCUGAUUUAGACUCUGAUUCAACAUGCCAUGAGCUUCUCAGCAUCUUGCUGGAUUGGGCUCUAUGUUUGGAAAAUAU